UAACAAUAAGAGACAGCAAGUGCAGAAUGAUGGUCGUCGGCCUAGCUCCUCUAGCUCUCGUGGUGUCGAUGGCUCUUGCAGCCUCAGAUUCGAUUGAAAAAAAUACACUUGAUACCCCCGAGAACUUGAAUAUUACUAAUCAAGGAUCUAAGUAUUGCCCAACUGAUGACCCUUCAUCGUCAGAUGAAUCGGCCUGCUUCCAAAACUUGACGUGCUUAUGCAAGACAACAAGCGUCACAAUGGAUCUGACUUGUUCACAGAAGACUAAUACACUGGAACUUUACGACAAACGCUCUGGUAUUCCAAUGUGUCCGAAAAAAUUGCACUGCAUGGAUAAAGGUGAUGCAAGCGGAUUUAAAACGAAAUACAAGAAAGCCAGCUGCUUUUGCAAUGACGAAAUGAAAUCAAGGUCCAAGCAGUGGAAGAAAAACGAGAUGGCCAAGCAACUCUCUAUCGAAGCAUUCAAAGUAACUUUGAGCAUGAUCCCGCACCCGAAUCUUGACUACUAUUGGAACUGCUCCGCCUCUGUCUUUGUGGCGAUCGCCCUAUUUUUGACCUUCGCACACUUCAGCAUCUGCCUGAAUGUGACAGCGAAGAUACGAAAAAUUUUCCAGAUUGACCGACGGAAUGGGCAAGUCACCAGCGAUGAGCCCAUCUAUCAAGAGCUUGACUGUGACACCACAGAUUCACGCCCGUUGGAUUUCUAUAGAAACAUAAAGUCCGUCAUCGCGGAGACUUCUGAAUACUUGGAGCUAAAUGAUAUUUAAGUUAAAUACCUUAAAUACAAAUACUAAACAAUCCAACUAUACCCACUGUAAUAUCAUUUCAUUAUGAAUAUUCAACUCAUAAUUAUCCAGGUAUUGCAAAAUAAAUGUGUUGUAUUAUUUAAUUAUUAUUUUCUGCCUUUUGUUAUGGUCGCAGUCUGUUGCGUCGAGAUGAAUAUCCCAAAGCUUGUCGUUCGCCUGCGUGUAACUUCAACUCUUUAUUUAAUCUUUUGAAAUCAGGGACUGUUGUGCAAUAUUUUCCGAUACAUUUUUACCAAAUAACUAUCUACCAGCGAUCGGACCUUUGACGGAAAACAGCUCCAUCCCAUUGAUUAUUUUGUGUUGUAUGAUAGCAAGAGGUCUAUAUUGCCCUUAUUGCUAUUUCUCAUAAUAUAUGUAAUUUGACAAAUUGGGACAUUAAAUUGCUUAAAUACAAUUA